CGGGUGAGUAACGCGUAAACAACCUGCCCUUCGGAUGGGGACAACAGNUGGAAACGGCUGCUAAUACCGAAUACGUUCUUUUCAUCGCAUGGUGAGAAGAAGAAAGGACGGCCUCUACACAAAGCGGUCGCCGAAGGAGGGGUUUGCGUCUGAUUAGCUAGUUGGAGGGGUAACGGCCCAACAAGGCGACGAUCAGUAGCCGGUCUGAGAGGAUGAACGGCCACAUUGGGACUGAGACACGGCCCAGACUCCUACGGGAGGCAGCAGGC
rnacentral:rRNA from 1 species